GAGGGUGUAGCUCAGGGGUAGAGCGCAUGCUUAGCAAUGCAUGAGGUCCAGGGUUCAAUCCCCAGUCCCUCCA
rnacentral:tRNA from 1 species